AUUUAAUUUAAAUUUAUUUUAUUUUGGUUAGUUAGUUUAAAGAAAAAUGUAAUUCUAAAUUCUAAGAUUAUGAUGCUCUUGUAACAUUAAAGUAAACCGUAUUUAAUUUUUUUUUGUCGCUUAAAACAUGCGUCAUAACUGCUGGCUUGCAAAAUCCGCCGGCGCGAAAUUGAAAAUUCAACUCAAUUCAGAUCAAGCUUUUCAACCCCACACUGUAAAAAACUAUUCAUUGACUGAACAACCAUUACUUAUAAAAAUAAAUAAACUAAACACAAAUAACAAAGUAAUUUUAACUUUCCAACCUCUACUUAGCAUAUAUAAGUUACAAGGUGUAUGCCUAAGUGUAUGCCUAAAUAUAAUGAAAAAACAUAAGUCACAUCAACUAGUAUUAAAAUUGCAUCAAAACUAAGUAAUUAUAACAUAAUAUUUUAAUUAUAUGACUGAGCCACAUGAUAUGCAAAUCUGGAAAAAACUGGAUCCAUUUUGUGAUGCACAUGUGAAGACGGUGGAAAGAGGUAAGCUUAACUUUCUAUAAACUAUGCAAAAUAUUUGAUUUUGAGGUUUUGACAUUAAUAAACACUUGUUUGUAGUGUUAGGUGAAGAUAUUUUCUGAAACGCAAAGAGGCGAAGACGCUGAAAAGAGUUCAGAGCAAGAAAGUGUUGCAAAGGGGGCAGCAUGAAGGAAGUGUCCUGUUGGAAGUGAACUUUCAUUUGUUAAUGUGACACAUUUGUUGUACGUUCGUGAUGUGUGGUUUUAGGCUUCACCAUUGCAUUGCAGCCUGUUUCAAAAAAUAAAGUGAAAUGCUUUAUUUUG